AUUGAACGCUGGCGGCAGGCCUAACACAUGCAAGUCGAACGAGCGGCGGACGGGUGAGUAAUGUCUGGGAAUCUGCCUGAUGGAGGGGGAUAACUACUGGAAACGGUAGCUAAUACCGCAUACCAUCGGAUGUGCCCAGAUGGGAUUAGCUAGUAGGUGGGGUAAAGGCUCACCUAGGCGACGAUCCCUAGCUGGUCUGAGAGGAUGAUCAGCCACACGGGAACUGAGACACGGCCCAGACUCCUACGGGAGGCAGCAGUGGGGAAUAUUGCACAAUGGGCGCAAGCCUGAUGCAGCCAUGCCGCGUGUAUGAAGAAGGCCUUAGGGUUGUAAAGUACUUUCAGCGGGGAGGCGUUACCCGCAGAAGAAGCACCGGCUAACUCCGUGCCAGCAGCCGCGGUAAUAC
rnacentral:rRNA from 1 species